rnacentral:rRNA from 1 species
ACGGAAGGCAGCAGUGGGGAAUAUUGCACAAUGGAGGAAACUCUGAUGCAGCAACGCCGCGUGAAGGAUGAAGGUCUUCGGAUCGUAAACUUCUGUCCUUAGGGAAGAUAAUGACGGUACCUUUGGAGGAAGCCCCGGCUAACUACGUGCCAGCAGCCGCGGUAAUACGUAGGGGGCAAGCGUUAUCCGGAAUUAUUGGGCGUAAAGAGUGCGUAGGUGGUUACCUAAGCAGGGGGUGAAAGGCAUUGGCUUAACCAAUGUUAGCCCCCUGAACUGGGCUACUUGAGUGCAGGAGGGGAAAGCGGAAUUCCUAGUGUAGCGGUGAAAUGCGUAGAUAUUAGGAGGAACACCGGUGGCGAAGGCGGCUUUCUGGACUGUAACUGACACUGAGGCACGAAAGUGUGGGGAGCAAACAGGAUUAGAUACCCUGGUA